UCAAGCUACAAAGAGCGCAAGGGGAAUGCCUUGGCACUGGGAGCCGAUGAAGGACGCGACAAACUGCGAAAAGCCACGGGAAGCCGUAAGUAGGCAUCGAUCCGUGGGUGUCCGAAUGGAGCAAUCCGGCUGGAGUCAUGUCCAGUCAUCAUGCACUGAAUACAUAGGUGCAUGAGGGGAACCGCCUGAACUGAAACAUCUAAGUAGGGCGAGGAAAAGAAAUCAACCGAGAUUCCGCUAGUAGUGGCGAGCGAACGCGGAAAAGGCCAAACCAGAAGUAGAAAUAUUUUUGGGGUAAGGGCUAGCUAUAACGCAUUGUUAGAACUUAACAGAAUGGCAUGGGAAGGCCAACAAAAUAGGGUGAGAGUCCCGUAUGUGAAAAGUGAUAGCAGCAAAGCUAGUUCCAGAGUACUGCCGGACACGAGAAACCCGGUGGGAACAUGGGGGGACCAUCCUCCAAGCCUAAAUACUACCCAGUGACCGAUAGAGAAAAGUACUGUGAAGGAAAGGUGAAAAGAACCCCGGGAGGGGAGUGAAAAAGAACCUGAAACCUUGUGCUUACAAGCACCGAGAGCCCGUCAAUGGGUGAUCGGGUACCUAUUGUAGAAUGGUCCGGCGAGUAAAUGUAACUGGCAAGGUUAAGGACUUAAAGUCCGGAGCCGAAGCGAAAGCGAGUUUUAAAAGAGCGUAUGAAGUCAGUUGUAUUUGACCCGAAACCGGGUGACCUACCCAUGUCCAGGUUGAAGUUAGGGUAAAACCUAAUGGAGGACCGAACCGACUCCCGUUGAAAUGGUAGCGGAUGAGGUGUGGGUAGCGGAGAAAUUCCAAUCGAACCCGGAGAUAGCUGGUUCUCUCCGAAAUAGCUUUAGGGCUAGCCUCAAAAUAAAUUGCUGGAGGUAAAGCACUGAAUGGUCUAGGGGCCGAAAGGUUACCAAAGCCUAUCAAACUAAGAAUGCCAGACAAUUGAUUUUUGGGAGUCAGACAGUGGGAGAUAAGUUUCAUUGUCAAAAGGGAAAGAGCCCAGAUCCACAGCUAAGGUCCCAAAGUAGAUUUAAGUGGGAAAGGAUGUGGGAUUGCAUAGACAACCAGGAUGUUGGCUUAGAAGCAGCCAUACAUUAAAAGAGUGCGUAAUAGCUCACUGGUCGAGUGAUCCUGCGCCGAAAAUUUAACGGGGCUAAAAUCUACACCGAAGCUUGGGCUUCUGAACAGUUUUUAUUGUUCAGAGGGGUAGGAGAGCGUUCUGUACGGGGAGAAGCUAUAGCGUAAGCGGUAGUGGACUGUACAGAAGUGAGAAUGCCGGAAUGAGUAGCGAGAAAUAUGUGAGAAUCAUAUUGGCCGAAAGUCUAAGGUUUUUGGAGGAAGGUUCGUCCGCUCCAAGUAAGUCGGGAGCUAAGGUGAGGCCGCAAGGCGUAGCCGAUGCACAUACGGUUGAAAUUCCGUAACCACCGAAAAAUUUAAGCAAGAUGACACUUUGCAAAGCUGUGACCCGGGCGUUGGUUGACCCGGGCGUAAGGGACCGAAAUUUAGUAGGGAAGCACGGUAGAGCGAAGGCGAGAAAAGUCUUGUGUAUAUUUAAGGUGCCCGUACCGCAAACCGACACAGGUAGAUAGGAAGAGAAUUCCAAGGCCAACGGGAGAAGGGUAGUUAAGGAACUCGGCAAAAUGACCCCGUAACUUAGGGAGAAGGGGUGGUGUAGCAAUACACCCGCAGAGAAUAGGCCCAGGCGACUGUUUAGCAAAAACACAGGUCUGUGCAAAAUCGAAAGAUGAAGUAUACGGGCUGACACCUGCCCGGUGCUGGAAGGUUAAGAGGAAGGGUGCAAGCUCUGAAUUGAAGCCCCAGUAAACGGCGGCCGUAACUAUAACGGUCCUAAGGUAGCGAAAUUCCUUGUCGGGUAAGUUCCGACCCGCACGAAUGGUGUAACGAUCUGGGCGCUGUCUCAACUACCCGCCCGGCGAAAUUGUAGUACCGGUGAAGAUGCCGGUUACCUGCGACAAGACGGAAAGACCCCAUGGAGCUUCACUGCAGCUUGAUAUUGGGUUUUGGUAAUUUAUGUACAGGAUAGGCGGGAGACUUGGAAACACGGGCGUCAGCUCGUGCGGAGUCACCCUUGGGAUACCGCCCUUAAGUUACUAGAAUUCUAACCUGCGACCAUGAAUCUGGUCGGGGGACAUUGUCAGGUGGGCAGUUUGACUGGGGCGGUCGCCUCCUAAAAAGUAACGGAGGCGCUCAAAGGUUAGCUCAGCACGGACGGAAACCGUGUGAUAGAGUGCAAACGCGUAAGCUAGCCUAACUGCGAGGGUGACGGCCCGAGCAGUAACGAAAGUUGGAGUUAGUGAUCCGGCGGUAUGUGAAUGGAAAUGCCGUCGCUCAACGGAUAAAAGCUACCCUGGGGAUAACAGGCUGAUCUCCCCCAAGAGUUCACAUCGACGGGGAGGUUUGGCACCUCGAUGUCGGCUCAUCACAUCCUGGGGCUGUAUUCGGUCCCAAGGGUUCGGCUGUUCGCCGAUUAAAGUGGUACGCGAGCUGGGUUCAGAACGUCGUGAGACAGUUCGGUCCCUAUCUGUCGUGGGCGUAGGAUAUUUGAGGAGUUCUGUCCUUAGUACGAGAGGACCGGGAUGGACGCACCUCUGGUGCACCAGUUGUCAUGCCAAUGGCACAGCUGGGCAGCUAUGUGCGGAACGGAUAAACGCUGAAAGCAUCUAAGCGUGAAACCGACUCCAAGAUAAGAUAUCCCAUAACGUUAAGUUAGUAAGACCCCUUGAAGACUACAAGGUAGAUAGGCUGCAAGUGCAAGUGCGGUGACGCAUUUAGCUAGGCAGUACUAAUAGGUCGAGGGCUUGACC
rnacentral:rRNA from 1 species